CCUACGGGUGGCAGCAGUGAGGAAUAUUGGUCAAUGGACGAGAGUCUGAACCAGCCAAGUAGCGUGAAGGAUGACUGCCCUAUGGGUUGUAAACUUCUUUUAUAUGGGAAUAAAACGUUCCACGUGUGGGAUUUUGUAUGUACCAUAUGAAUAAGGAUCGGCUAACUCCGUGCCAGCAGCCGCGGUAAUACGGAGGAUCCGAGCGUUAUCCGGAUUUAUUGGGUUUAAAGGGAGCGUAGGUGGAUUGUUAAGUCAGUUGUGAAAGUUUGCGGCUCAACCGUAAAAUUGCAGUUGAAACUGGCAGUCUUGAGUACAGUAGAGGUGGGUGGAAUUCGUGGUGUAGCGGUGAAAUGCUUAGAUAUCACGAAGAACUCCGAUUGCGAAGGCAGUUCACUGGACUGCAACUGACACUGAGGCGCGAAAGUGUGGGUAUCAAACAGGAUUAGAUACCCUAGUAGUC
rnacentral:rRNA from 1 species